CAUUGACCUCGGAUCAGGUAGGGAUACCCGCUGAACUUAAGCAUAUCAAUAAGCGGAGGAAAAGAAACCAACCGGGAUUGCCUCAGUAACGGCGAGUGAAGCGGCAAUAGCUCAAAUUUGAAAUCUGGCCCUUUCGGGGUUCGAGUUGUAAUUUAUAGAGAGCGUUUCGGGUACGACCACGGUCUAAGUCCGUUGGAACAUGGUGUCAUAGAGGGUGAGAAUCCCGUAUGUGACCGUGGAUCGAGCCCACGUGAAGCCUCUUCGACGAGUCGAGUUGUUUGGGAAUGCAGCUCAAAAUGGGUGGUAAAUUCCAUCUAAAGCUAAAUAAUGGCUGGAGACCGAUAGCGCACAAGUAGAGUGAUCGAAAGAUGAAAAGCACUUUGGAAAGAGAGUUAAACAGUACGUGAAAUUGUUGAAAGGGAAGCGCUUGCAACCAGACCUGUCCGUAGGCGAUCAGCCGCUGUUCUCAGCGGUGCACUCGCCCUACGAUCAGGCCAGCAUCGGUUCCGACGGUUGGACAAAGGCCUGGGGAAUGUAGCUCCCCUCGGGGAGUGUUAUAGCCCUGGGUGUAAUGCGGCCAGCCGGGACCCGAGGACCGCGCUUCGGCCAGGAUGCUGGCGUAAUGG
rnacentral:rRNA from 1 species